UGACCAUUGUUGUGAUGAUCACAUCUAUGCUCUAUAACGUUACAUUUAUGUUGUUUUAGGUUGUGUCUGGAAGGGACCUGGAUCUAGCUGUCGCUUCGAGAUGGACAUCACAUAGAGAACCAGGCAGGUCUAAACCCUUGGAUGACAGAGAGAGUACUGGUGAGACAGACGGUGGUGAGGCUGAGGCAGGCUGUGAUGCAUGGAGGAGGAGGCAGAGGAGACACAGAGAGAGAGGAAGCCAGCAGAGAGAAAGGUUAGUACAGUGGUUCCCAUACUAGAGGUCAGAGCCCCAUGUAGGGUCCACUGAGAAAAUCU
rnacentral:lncRNA from 1 species